rnacentral:rRNA from 1 species
UACGAAGGGGGCGAGCGUUGUUCGGAUUUACUGGGCGUAAAGGGCGCGCAGGCGGUCUUGAAAGUCAGGCGUGAAAGCCCCGGGCUUAACCUGGGAAUUGCGCUUGUGACUGGCGUGCUGGAGUGUGGCAGAGGGAGGUGGAAUUCCACGUGUAGCAGUGAAAUGCGUAGAGAUGUGGAGGAACACCGAUGGCGAAGGCAGCCUCCUGGGCCAGCACUGACGCUCAUGCACGAAAGCGUGGGGAGCAAACAGG